rnacentral:rRNA from 1 species
AACGAACGCUGGCGGCAUGCCUAACACAUGCAAGUCGAACGAGACCUUCGGGUCUAGUGGCGCACGGGUGCGUAACGCGUGGGAACCUGCCCUUAGGUUCGGAAUAACUCCCCGAAAGGGGUGCUAAUACCGGAUAAUGUCUUCGGACCAAAGAUUUAUCGCCUUUGGAUGGGCCCGCGUUGGAUUAGCUAGUUGGUAGGGUAAAAGCCUACCAAGGCGACGAUCCAUAGCUGGUCUGAGAGGAUGCUCAGCCACACUGGGACUGAGACACGGCCCAGACUCCUACGGGAGGCAGCAGUGGGGAAUAUUGGACAAUGGGCGCAAGCCUGAUCCAGCAAUGCCGCGUGAGUGAUGAAGGCCUUAGGGUUGUAAAGCUCUUUUACCCGGGAUGAUAAUGACAGUACCGGGAGAAUAAGCUCCGGCUAACUCCGUG